GACGUAGGGCGCGAGCGUUGUCCGGAUUUAUUGGGCGUAAAGAGCUCGUAGGCGGCUUGUUGCGUCAGCUGUGAAAACCCGCAGCUCAACUGUGGGCUUGCAGCUGAUACGGGCAGGCUUGAGUUCGGUAGGGGAGACUGGAAUUCCUGGUGUAGCGGUGAAAUGCGCAGAUAUCAGGAGGAACACCGGUGGCGAAGGCGACUACCUGGCCUGUUCUUGACGCUGAGGCGCGAAGGUCAGGGGAGCAAACGGG
rnacentral:rRNA from 1 species